CCUACGGGAGGCUGCAGUGGGGAAUAUUGCACAAUGGGGGAAACCCUGAUGCAGCGACGCCGCGUGAGCGAAGAAGUAUUUCGGUAUGUAAAGCUCUAUCAGCAGGGAAGAAAAUGACGGUACCUGAGUAAGAAGCUCCGGCUAAAUACGUGCCAGCAGCCGCGGUAAUACGUAUGGAGCAAGCGUUAUCCGGAUUUACUGGGCGUAAAGGGAGCGUAGGCGGCCUGGCAAGUCAGAUGUGAAAUACCGGGGCGCAACCCCGGGGCUGCAGUGGAAACUGGAAGGCUGGAGUGUCGGAGAGGCAGGCGGAAUUCCUAGUGUAGCGGUGAAAUGCGUAGAUAUUAGGAGGAACACCAGUGGCGAAGGCGGCCUGCUGGACGGUGACUGACGCUGAGGCUCGAAAGCGUGGGGAGCAAACAGGAUUAGAUACCCCAGUAGUC
rnacentral:rRNA from 1 species